ACUCCUACGGGAGGCAGCAGUGGGGAAUAUUGCACAAUGGGCGCAAGCCUGAUGCAGCCAUGCCGCGUGUAUGAAGAAGGCCUUCGGGUUGUAAAGUACUUUCAGCAGUGAGGAAGGCGGGUACGUUAAUAGCGUGCUUGUUUGACGUUAGCUGCAGAAGAAGCACCGGCUAACUCCGUGCCAGCAGCCGCGGUAAUACGGAGGGUGCGAGCGUUAAUCGGAAUUACUGGGCGUAAAGCGCAUGCAGGUGGUUUGUUAAGUCAGAUGUGAAAGCCCGGGGCUCAACCUCGGAAUUGCAUUUGAAACUGGCAGACUAGAGUACUGUAGAGGGGGGUAGAAUUUCAGGUGUAGCGGUGAAAUGCGUAGAGAUCUGAAGGAAUACCGGUGGCGAACGGCGGCCCCCUGGACAGAUACUGACACUCAGAUGCGAAAGCGUGGGGAGCAAACAGGAUUAGAUA
rnacentral:rRNA from 1 species